GCAUAUCAAUAAGCGGAGGAAAAGAAACCAACAGGGAUUGCCCCAGUAACGGGCGAGUGAAGCGGCAAAAGCUCAAAUUUGAAAUCUGGCCCUUUCAGGGUCCGAGUUGUAAUUUGCAGAGGAUGCUUCGGGUGCGGCCCCGGCCUAAGUUCCUUGGAACAGGACGUCAUAGAGGGUGAGAAUCCCGUCUUUGGUCGUCGGCCCGCGCCCGUGUGAAGCUCCUUCGAAGAGUCGAGUUGUUUGGGAAUGCAGCUCUAAGCGGGUGGUAAAUUUCAUCUAAAGCUAAAUAUUGGCCGGAGACCGAUAGCGCACAAGUAGAGUGAUCGAAAGGUUAAAAGCACCUUGAAAAGGGAGUUAAACAGCACGUGAAAUUGUUGAAAGGGAAGCGCUUGCGGCCAGACUCGGGUGCGGGGUUCAGCGGACGCGUGUCGUCCGUGCACUCCCCGUUUCCCGGGCCAGCAUCAGUUUCGACGGCCGGUCAAAGGCCUCUGGAAUGUGUCGUCUCUCGGGACGUCUUAUAGCCAGAGGUGCAAUGCGGCCUGUUGGGACUGAGGAACGCGCUUCGGCUCGGAUGCUGGCAUAAUGGCCGUAAGCGGCCCGUCUUGAAACACGGACCAAGGAGUCUAACAUCCACGCGAGUGUUCGGGUGUCAAACCCGUGCGCGCAGUGAAAGCGAACGGAGGUGGGAGCCUUAGGGCGCACCAUCGACCGAUCCUGAAGUCUUCGGAUGGAUUUGAGUAGGAGCGUGGCCGUUGGGACCCGAAAGAUGGUGAACUAUGCCUGAAUAGGGUGAAGCCAGAGGAAACUCUGGUGGAGGCUCGCAGCGGUUUCUGACGUGCAAAUCGAUUCGUCAAAUUUGGGCAUAGGGGCGAAAGACUAAUCGAACCAUCUAGUAGCUGGGUUCCUGCCGA
rnacentral:rRNA from 1 species